CCUACGGGAUGCAGCAGUGGGGAAUAUCGCACAAUGGGCGCAAGCCUGAUGCAGCCAUGCCGCGUGUAUGAAGAAGGCCUUCGGGUUGUAAAGUACUUUCAUCGGGGAGGAAGGUGUUGAGGUUAAUAACCUCAGCAAUUGACGUUACCCGCAGAAGAAGCACCGGCUAACUCCGUGCCAGCAGCCGCGGUAAUACGGAGGGUGCAAGCGUUAAUCGGAAUUACUGGGCGUAAAGCGCACGCAGGCGGUCUGUCAAGUCGGAUGUGAAAUCCCCGGGCUCAACCUGGGAACUGCAUUCGAAACUGGCAGGCUAGAGUCUUGUAGAGGGGGGUAGAAUUCCAGGUGUAGCGGUGAAAUGCGUAGAGAUCUGGAGGAAUACCGGUGGCGAAGGCGGCCCCCUGGACAAAGACUGACGCUCAGGUGCGAAAGCGUGGGGAGCAAACAGGAUUAGAUACCCCUGUAGUC
rnacentral:rRNA from 1 species